UGGGGAAUUUUGGACAAUGGGGGCAACCCUGAUCCAGCCAUGCCGCGUGAGUGAAGAAGGCCUUCGGGUUGUAAAGCUCUUUUGGUCGGGAAGAAAGUGCUCUGCCUAAUAAGCGGGGUAUUUGACGGUACCGGCAGAAUAAGCACCGGCUAACUACGUGCCAGCAGCCGCGGUAAUACGUAGGGUGCGAGCGUUAAUCGGAAUUACUGGGCGUAAAGCGUGCGCAGGCGGUUGGUUAAGUCUGAUGUGAAAGCCCCGGGCUCAACCUGGGAAUGGCAUUGGAAACUGGCCAGCUGGAGUAUGGCAGAGGGGGGUGGAAUUCCACGUGUAGCAGUGAAAUGCGUAGAGAUGUGGAGGAACACCGAUGGCGAAGGCAACCCCCUGGGCCAAUACUGACGCUCAGGCACGAAAGCGUGGGGAGCAAACA
rnacentral:rRNA from 1 species